rnacentral:rRNA from 1 species
CAGCAGCCGCGGGAAUACGUAGGUGGCAAGCGUUGUCCGGAAUUAUUGGGCGUAAAGGGCUCGCAGGCGGUUUCUUAAGUCUGAUGUGAAAGCCCCCGGCUCAACCGGGGAGUGUCAUUGGAAACUGGGAAACUUGAGUGCAGAAGGGGAGAGUGGAAUUCCACGUGUAGCGGUGAAAUGCGUAGAGAUGUGGAGGAACACCAGUGGCGAAGGCGACUCUCUGGUCUGUAACUGACGCUGAGGCGCGAAAGCGUGGGGAGCGAACAGGAUUAGAUACCCCAGUAGUCCCUGUCUCUUAUAC